GAAUAAAAUCUUCGAGAACGUGAUUUUCUCACCGAACAUGAUCCAGGAGACUUGGACCCUACUCCAAGGAACAAAAGAGGCGGUCACGAGGGUGGGGCCACCCCCCUAGGGCGCGCCCCUGCCUCGUGGGCCCCUCAUUGUCCCUCCGGCGUACUUCUUCCUCCUAUAUAUACACACGUACCCCCAAACGAUUAGAACUGGAGACAAAAAUCUAAUUCCACCGCCGCAACUUUCUGUAUCCAUGAGAUCCCAUCUUGGGGCCUGUUCCGGAGCUCCACCAGAAGAGGGCCGUCAUCACGGAGGGCUUCUACAUCAUCAUAGCCUCUCCGAUGAAGUGUGAGUAGUUUACCUCAGACCUUCGGGUCCAUAGUUAGUAGCUAGAUGGCUUCUUCUCUCUCUUUGAAUCUCAAUACAAAGUUCUCCCCCUCUCUUGUGGAGAUCUAUUAGAUGUAAUCUUCUUUUUAUGAUGUGUUUGUUGAGACCGAUGAAUUGUGGGUUUAUGAUGAAGUCUAUCUAUGAAUAAUAUUUGAAUCUUCUCUGAAUUCUUUUAUGUAUGAUUGGUUAUCUUUGCAAGUCUCUUCGAAUUAUCCGUUUGGUUUGGCCAACUAGAUUGGUAGAUCUUGCCAUGGGAGAAGUGCUUAGCUUUGGGUACGAUCUUGCGGUGUCCUUACCCAGUGACAGAAGGGGCAGCAAGGCACGUAUUGUAUCGUUGCCAUCGAGGAUAACAAGAUGGGGUUUAUUUCAUAUUGCAUGAAUUUAUCUCUCUACAUCAUGUCAUCUUGCUUAAGGCGUUACUCUUUUUUUAACUUAAUACUCUAGAUGCAUGCUGGAUAGCGAUCGAUGAGUGGAGUAAUAGUAGUAGAUGCAGAAUCGUUUCGGUCUACUUGUCACGGACGUGAUGCCUAUAUACAUGAUCAUGCCUAGAUAUUCUCAUAACUAUGCUCAAUUCUGUCAAUUUCUCAACAAUAAUUUGUUCACCCACCGUAGAAUACUUAUGCUCUUGAGAGAAGCCACUAGUGAAACCUAUGGCCCCAGGGUCUAUUCUCAUCAUAUCAAUAUCCAUCACUUUAAUCUUGCUUUGCCUUUUUUACUUUGCUUUUACUUUUUACUUUGCAUCUUUAUACCAAAAAUACCAAAAAUAUUAUAUCUAUCAGAUCUCACUCUCGUAAGUGACCGUGAAGGGAUUGACAACCCCUAAUCGCGUUGGUUGUGAGUAGCUAUCGCUUUGUGCAGGUACGAGGGACUUGAGCAUGGGCUCCUACUGGAUUGAUACCUUGGUUCUCAAAAACUGAGGGAAAUACUUACAGUACUCUGCUGCAUCAUCCCUUCCUCUUUGGGGAAAACCAACGCAAGCUCAAGACGUAGCAGGCUGCUAUGUGUGCUGCAUGCUACUAGCAAGCCCUGCGCCGCUAUCACAGCCGCAUGGUUCAUGCCCGGUGUUUUGAGGAAGGUGACCUUGUCCUUAGGCGCGUUCAGUCCGCCAAGGUUACAAACAAGUUAUCACCGAAGUGGGAAGGCCCUUACCGGGUAGUACGAGUCACCGGACGUGGCGCAAUCCAUCUGGAGAUCAGAGAUGGCAUUCAAUUGCAAAACUCAUGAAAUCUUGAGCAUCUCCGUAAGUUCUACCCGUAAGGCGAGGUUAUCGGGCAAGGCCCGGCAACCACCCUUUUGUAUAGGCCUUGCCUCAGUUGCAUGUAACCCUUGUACAAUGCCAGGCGCAGACCCUGAGCAACAGAGAAAUAAAUGAAGCACUGGGUGCCCCCGACAAGUUGCAUGCAUGCAUAAGCAUAUCAUGAGCAUUGCAUGUUCAUGUAGAUAAGAUCGCAUGUGGCAUCAUUUUCAUCUGCAUAAACUGUAGGCUCUUUCUAUUGACUCAGUCCCCCAGAGGAGAUGACAACACAAGCCACCACUACGGUCUUUGGCAAGCCAAACAGAUAAGUUCAUCCUCUUAUCCAUAUUUGUUCUGUAAGUAAAGGCUUGUGCAUAAUAAAGCCCUUCUACCCUUUAAAACAUAGGUGCUCCCACCAUUUAACUCGAACGCUGCUUUGGUCGGGGUGGUCGCAGUGGCCUUUGGUGGAUAAGGACCGACAGGGGGCUAGUCCCUCUUUACGAUUUCUUCCCCGUAGACUUACUUCCCGACAACAACACAGAGGGUUCCAGUAGGAUAGCCUGCCAGGGGAACUUGUUUCUUUAAAAAUAUAGAGGCAUCCCACCUCUACAUGGACAUAUACAUGCACUAGUCCCCGGCAAAGUCCAUCCUUUUCACUAGAUAUGGAGAUCAAACAAGUAUAGACCUUAUAGACACACACAUGGAUUCGAGAGAUUACAUUAUUUGAAAGAAAAUUUGGCAAGUGCCUAUAGGUUUAAGAUUGAAAAAAGAUAAGUGCCCCGUAAACUCCUCUCCCUGUCCCUUUUACCCAGGGUACUGUGGUGGGAAAGAAAAGAGUACAAGAGGAGUGCCCAAGUAGGAGCCCACCCUGGUCUCGUCGUGGCUUGCUGGACACAGCCUGAUAAGAUCGGGAGUGGCGAGGCUGUGAAGAAGGGGGCGGAAGGAACAGCUCGGCGGUGCCCUGGUCACCACCUCAACGGACAGUUAGAAGCCCCAGCACAUGCACCGGUAGGGAAGACCGUCGGAGCUCAGCUGGAAGACUGUUGGAGGCGGAGAAGGCACCAAGAGAGCGCCCCCUUCUCGGCAACUGGGAGGCCGGUGAUGAUGGUACUGGGAGGGGGAGGGGAGGAGAGGAAAGAUGAGGUGGCAGGACACCAGUACGAUAUGAACGCGUAGGUGCGAUCGUAAUCAGACCCGACGGCCUGCCUCGCACCUUCUCCGUCUUCCCUAGUUUCAUCUUCAUCAACACCGCUCCAGAGAAGUGCCGACCUCUCGAUCCGGCACUUCCCCCAAGAAGAUGGUGGAAGGCAGCACCGACCAGGGUGCUCCAGGGCGCUGUCGGUGUCAAAACCGGCGGAUGUCGGGUAGGGGAUCCCGAACCGUGCGUCUAGGAUCGAUGGUAAUGGGAGACGGCGGACACGAUGUUUUACCCAGGUUUGGGCCCUCUCUAUCGAGGUAAUACCCUACUUCCUGCUUGAUUUAUCUUGAUGAAUAUGAGUAUUACAAGAGUUGAUCUACCACAAGAUCGUAGUGGCUAAACCCUAAAAGCCUAGCCUGUAUGACUAUGGUAAUAAAUCUCCUUUCUGGACUAACCCCUUCGGUUUAUAUAGGCACCGGGGGGAUCUAGGAUUUACAUAGAGUCGGUUACAUAAGAAGGAAUCUUCAGAGUCGGUUGCCAAGCUUGCCUUCCACGCCAAGGAGAGUCCAAUCCGGACACAGGUACAGUCUUUGGCCUUCAUGUCUUCAUAGCCCAUCAGUCCUGCCCAUGGAUAACAGGCCAGACGCCCGAGGACCCCUUAGUCCAGGACUCCCUCAGGCGCCGCUCCCCACCUUGGUGGGCAGGAAGGCGCCCUCCAUAUCGAGAUCAACCCCAGUUCCAAGGAAAGGGGCAAUACUGGGAUUUUUGAUGAUCCCAAGCCUUACGCCUUGGAACUGGACCAGACUCACUCCCCUGGCGUCUACAUGGGCACUUGGAGUCUGAAGCACUAAGAUAGGGCCCUGGGCCUUGCCCCGUGCUCUCCUCUUCAGCAUACCAGAGGGAAAGCAGAGGACGAAGGAAGACCGGAGUAUGGUUGGAUGCCUCCACUCCUCCCCAGCUCCUCCUUUUACAGGUUAGCUGGGGCUGGGGGCUCAUUCCCCAGUGAGUAAUCACCAUCCUCCUCCACAAACCCAAGAAGACCGGGCCCCUGCCUUGAUGCUCUUCUGCACCACGCGCCACUGUUACCUACCCCACUCAAUGCAUGCAGCAUACUGGCCUAGUGUAAGGGCGUGGUGGGAAGAGUGAAUUGGUCGUUACCCGCCCGUGCACCAAAGUCAUUCACGGGCCAUUACAAAGAUGGCCCCACCAUGAUUGGCAUCACACGGAGCAUGAGAGAAACGGAAACUGACCCAAGAUUCAAGCUAAGGAGGAAGCUAAGAAGAUCUCAAAGUGUGGAGCCGCCCUUGCGCUCCUGCGUGUGCACUAGUUAGGGCCUACCCCGACAACACCCAGCGGCGUGUUCAUGCCAGGCCCGGGGGCCCCUGUCGGUGCAACGAAACCUGGGUCCAUCGCCCAGACCGUGCACAGGCUCAAAGACAAGAUUACAUCACCAAGCUCAAACCAAGCAAGGAGGAUCAAUCCCUCUAACAGACCACUAAGGAAAGAACCUACCUUGCAGGGCAGGCGAGCCUGGCGAGGUUGGUUUUUCCCCGGAAGCAAGCUUCCAGAUCGACCCGGUAGGCCCUGCCAGGGGCUUACGGAGGCAAGCCACGCCACCUCUCCACCUCAUGAGCAGCAGAAGUCAUAGGUCAGUGCGGUGUCAAGCCCCAAGAUGACUAGGUGGCUGCUUUUCGCCACAUGGCAGCCAUUUUCUAUAACAACACCUCCAUAUGACACGCGUCCCGAGACGUGUCAAGUGAGCAGCCGCGAAGCUGGCAAAACAGCCCGGCAAGAGCUGCCGGGCAUGCUGUGAUGUGACACUAGACGGCGCAUUUAAUGCGCACUGUCAGCCUGCAGAGUUAGGUAUGAUAGCACUGUUUGCUAUCUAAUCAGUACGCGAAGACUGAUUUGCCACUGUAGUAACCCCUUGAUCUAUAAAAGGAGGUCCAUGACAAACAUAGAAAGGGUUUGCGAGCAUGGCAACUUCAGGCCCUCAAAUAUCGAUACGCAUGUAACCACUUAUGCCCUGAGGCAACCCUACCGGGCAAAGUGCAUUAUGUCCACCACCACCCUUUUCCACCAUCAAUCCACCAAAGCAGGAGUAGGGUUUUACGCCUCACGGCGGCCCAAACCUAGGUAAAACUGCUUGUGUGGUCUCUGCCAUGCUGUGCCACGCUUCUCUGCUCUUUGUGGAACGUGCCCAUCCCGCCGCCAAAAAAGGGGCUCGUAGCCCAGGUGGCCGUGGUUUCCCACAAAGUGUCAUUUCACUCUUUUCGUGUAUUUUAGAAAUCUCGCAAAUCAAAGAGGCCCGAAGUGUUCAAAUCUACAGCUAGGCAGCAAUAUGUUGUGUUCAUUUGCAGAGACUAGCAGGCCCGAAAGUAGAAAAUGUUGGGGAAUAUAAGAAUUCCAUUGAAUGCCUUGUUCUUCAUCUCACAAAAAUUACUUUUAGCAAGCACCGAUGCACCACACCAGAAAUUAAAUUCGCUAGGUUCUUUGUGGAGAAAGCAAGGUUGCUCAAGGUAUUGAGGUUUUACCUAUAUGUACUGCGUAGAAGUGAAUGGAUUUCUAAAGAGCGCAGGCAUCUACAGCUGAAUGGAAAAGGCUCUGCACAAGCUGAAUUUCAGUUUGUAACUUCAUACGAUAGAUUAUUCAGAAGUCACUGUAUCGAGCCGCUAUAUGACUUCUAGGUGGCUGAUCCUCCAAUAGAAAUAAUGCAUGAAAAAGAUGGUGAAGAAGAUGAAUGUUAUGUGUCUGAAUAGUUUGAACCUUGUAAUAUCUGAAUUUGGGCCUUGUAAUGCUGGAAUUUGAACUUUGCAAUAUUUAUGGUAUUUGUUAUAUAACGUAAUUGGAUGUUUAACUUGGUUUUGCAAUCAUGUCCUGUUAUAAGUAUAGAUAUGUUGUUCUCCUGUACACAGAGAAUAGAUGUUGUGUAGACAGAGCAUAUUACAUCACACACAGACGACACAAGGUAACCCAGCGGUGAUGAAUUCAUCAAUCACAAAUGGUUAUAUACCAGCAAAAGUUUGCCCACAACACACACGACUUAUUCCAUCAUGCUUGAUGUCUCCGCCAUCACUCGCACAGUUCGUCUUAUUUGCCACGUGUCACUGUGUUGGCCUCUGCUUGCGUCCCUCAGCACACUCUGCUCGCUGAUAGGCGCCGCAGCGCAUUGUCCUCGCUGUUAGGCGCUGCAGCAUGCUCUGCUGAUGUUCCUCCACGCGCUCGGCUUGUGGACAACUUUUCCUUGCAUGUUUAACUGCUAUAUGCCCAUAUAUGGUUGCUCGCUGUUGAGGCACCGCGAAGCGCUCUGCUUGUGUCCCUGCGCGCGUGCUCUGCCAAUGGUUGGGGCCUGCGCACGAUCACAUUAGGGGCCCAUAUGCAUGAGGUUGUGCCGCGCGCGUUGCUAUGAUGGAGUUACAUGCGACACGAUGGAGUUACGCGCUGCAAAAUAGAACUUCCAUCUGGGCAUGCGGAUAUUCCAGGCCGUCCGAAUUCCCCAUUAAUUCCCUCGGCCAUUAUAACCAUAGUCUCUUCAAUCAUUCGACAUCACCCCACAACACAACAAGCACGCCCACGAUGACACAUAUAGAGAGGAUAACUAGCGGCGCUCCAAUGGAGUUUGGUGAGCAUAAAGUGGAGACCAUGCGAGGGAGACGGAUCUUUCGAUGGUGUACACCAUCCACUUGGCUGUGGUGGAGGACCACAUCAACACCGUGGCAGUUGCUUGCUCGAGACAAGUACAAGGUGGUCAGCAUCGACCUCCAGUACACCGACGGUCAUCCCGACAAUGAUCAAAAGGUUGUCGUCGUGCUGUUGUGUGUGUGCCAUCAUGUCCUCAUCUACCACUACUACAUGGCCACAGAGCCUUGCGACCGUUUCCCUAGGUUUGUCAACAGCACCGACUACAAACAAUGUAAAAGCGCUCAUGGUUUUAGGCUUGGCCUACCAGAAUCUUGUCAAAAUCUGUGACAACUACAGGGUACGGGGUAGCAUGAAUAAGGACUCCCUUGUUGAACUCGCCUCAGCCAUCAUUGACCCCUGAUACGAAAAGAUGAAGUUGGAUGCCAUCAAAACAAGUCAUGUAUCCUACCACGGGGCCUGGAUGCAGCAACUGGAUGAACCUCACCUCAGGUUCACAGCCAAGAGUGUGUACACAUGCUACGAGAUGCACAGCCAGAUCGUUGAGAUGAGGAAGUGCCUCGUUCCCAAAAUUGUCGAGGCCGAAUCGAGCCACAAGUAGAGCAGUAGCGGGAAGUGGCACAAGAAGUAGAUGAUGAUCACAUGAUAGUUUGUUCUAGUUAAUUAUGCACGUACUAUAUAGUUUAUUGUGGUGUGUGGAAAGAUCAUGUGUGUAGUAGCCAGCUAUGUAAUUAUGCAUGUAAUAGUUUACUUUGGUGUGUGCAAUUAAAUGGCAUGUCUCAUGUGUGCAGUAGCCACCUAUGUAAUUCGAUGCUUAAUUAAUUUGGUUAUGUAACCAUGUCCUUAUAAGUGUGUGUGUGUGUGUGUGUGUGUUGUUGUUGUUGUUGUUGUUGUUGUUGUUAUGUAUGCAAUCCCAUCGCACAACAACACACAUCUUGUUAGUAGCACGUCUUUGUUAUUCUCGGUCUUCGCACACAUUUCUGAUUACAGACCUCUUUGCCGCGUAUCACACACAUCUUGUUAAAUUGAACCGUUUCUAUUCUCCUUGCUCAACACAACCAGUUCAUCCGAGUGGAUUGUUUGCCCUCUAUCGCACACACCUUGAUCUGGCUGAGCGUUUAUUUUGUUCGGCCUAAUCACAAACAGUUCUUCCUAGUGAAUUGUAUGCCAUAAAUCGCACACACCUUGAUCCGGCUGACCAUUUUUGUUGUGUUUCCUAAUCACAAAUAGUUAAUCCAAGCGCACUGUAUGCUGUGUAUCGCAUGCACCUUGAUCUGGCUGCCCGUUUCAGUUGUUCUACCUCAUCAGAAACAGUUCAUUGGAGUGAACCGUAUGCCCCUCAUCGCGCACGUAAGUAAAAUCUGAACUGUGUUUGAUGUAUCCACCAUCGCAAACAUUUUUCAUCUUUUUUGAAAUUUUUACUUCACCAUUUGCGAUUAACGCAUCACACAUAGUUUCAUGGAAGGGUCUCUGAUCGUAGUGUCGCAUUAGCAGCAUCCUGCAGUAGUGGCACAAUCAUUUUAUAAUCUAAGAAUGGCUAAUAUUUAUUGAACAUUAUUUAUGAAAAUUUGCAUACCUUGACGGGUUUAUGAAAAUUGAGAUAUUUGCUAAUGUACAAAAAUCUUCUACUUCUUCUUCAACUAAAUUGCCACAUUUGAAAUUUUACCUUGAAUGCUUGUCAUGAAACUUUGGGAAUGCCCUUACAGAGAACAUAAUUAAAGUAGGACAUUGUGAACACUACUUUUAAUGAUUCGAUUAGUAUGAGACUUCACAUGACAUAUAAACUUUAUAAAACAACAUCAUGGAUUAAUUUGACAUUGCAUAAACAUAUAUUAUGAACUUUGUUACUCAUAUAUAAUUCUUUUUCUAGUCAUUCGAUGCUAUAUGCAUCCAUAACCAUACUGUAUUUCUGGUCACAUAUGAUGCAUACGUAAUAGCGACAGAUGAACUUUCCUACACAUAAUAUUCCUUAAUUUUUCUUUCCAAAUAAGAAUUUAUAUAUUCCACCAUGCAUGACCACUUUGUGCAUGUCAAGUCUCAAAUAUGAUGGCUUUGACAGUUCUCUAUGAGCACCUGUGUAUUUACAAAAAAAGGAAUGGACCAAUAAAAAGAUGAUAGAUUUCAUAAACACUGAUAGUAGGAGAUAUGAGAGGCAAAGAUGGAGUGAAAUAGUGUACCAUCCUGAGUUUAAUUUCCAACAAGCAAAAGCAAAAAAAAUAGCUCAUAUUAAUCCCAUCCAUUUGUUUAUUUUUCUGUGCUCUUAUUCAUGUGUUUGUCUAGGUAUAUGUGACGCGACUUGCCGUCUAGGAAAGUUUAUUGCCAACACGCAUCGUCUAAGGACAUUUAUUGGAAGAUCAUUCUAAUCAAGAUUAGUGAUAUCGUACCACAUUAAUGUCCAUGGCAAAUCUUGUCAAGUUUCUGAGAUAGUUUUGAACUAAUGGGAUAUGAAUAUCUAUAUUUGUGCCACAAAUGGGAGUAUUAAUGAAAAAUCAUACUUCUUUUAUUUUUCUUUUUUACGAUGGAGCUCACAAUUUGAGUUAGAUAUCUUAUCCAAUCUCGUUGGACUCAUGUGAUUUAUAUGUUGUAGGGAAUAUAUACCUUGGGUCACCUAGUAGAAAUUAAUUUAUAAUGUAAAUAACUUCAGAUUAUUUAAUUUUUUCUCCAAUUAUUAAAAUAAUUGAAUGUUUUGAAUAAAAAAAUAUUUAUAAUAAUGAGCUAUAUAACCCUCUUCACUUUCAUUUUUUAGUUUGAGCCAAUCACUGUACAUGUACAUCUAACGUACAUAAAACUUUCCAUAUUUAUAACAUUUAAUUCAAAACUUAUUAUGGAGCAAGUAUGUUGCUUGUUGGUGUGUUGCAUAAAAAUCUCCAUUUUUUCAGAUAAAACAAAUGGAUGGGACUGUGAUACAUGUAUUUUCCAUCAAAAUUUCCUAAAGAUAAAUACUCUAGUUUAAUACUUAUAGGAUCAAUACUACGUAAUUUUGACUUCAACUAAUUAUAUUUUAGUGUUUUACUGGAAGGACUAAUAAAAAUUGUCUGAGGAGGGAAUAAAAAUCACAAAUAACAUCUCUUUUUAGACGUAGAGAAAAAUUCAAGAAAAAUAUUUGAGCAAGGUUUGGAGCAAAAGGUGCCUGGUAGGCCCAAGCAACCAAGUUAGGGGCCUCAAUUCUUUAGCGGCUUAGAUAGGACAAUUGUGUCCCACAUGCUAGUGUGGGUACCCUUUCAGGGUAUUUUUCUUUCGCUCGUUGAAACCUAAUUCUUCCUGGAGGGUUCUUUCUCCAUGAUUUCCCCGUUUAGUUAGUGAUUUUAAACAAAGAGUCAUUACCAUCACUAAUAUAUAUAGAGGAACAUCAUCAUCCAAGUCAUCUUCGCCAUUUCCAUCAACAACACUAUCUUCCCCAUGCAUUUCUAUAACAUCUUUGCGAAAGUUGUGUAGAUCGGUUAGCGUUAUUACCACACCCAUGGUAUCUGCAUAGACACCAGUCAUGAAUUAUUAAACCUUGCCCGUUAUUACUAAAAAAUAAAAACUAGUUCUUCUUGUUAUUCUAUUAUUUAAUAUUCAUAAUAUUAGUUCUUCGUGCAUACAAGAUCAACUCCAUAGACUGGACAUGCCAAUCCUUGUAACUAUCAAAGCUAGUGAGAUUCACAACUUCAAUAGAAGUGUUUGGGACAAAUUAAAAGUUUCUUAGUUAAGGGCAAGGCAAAUAUUUUUUGUGUAGGAGAACUCCCCAGCUUGAUACCUUGGUUUCCAUUGAGGGAACCUAACUUGUUGCUUAAAACAAUGUCCCUUGAGUGAAUAAUAUCUGAAACUCCAUGGCUUACUCCAAAGAAAAUUUGGCCAACUAUAAUCAUCAAUUUUCGGACAUGUUAGAGUCAAUGAAAGUGCAUUAAUCACCGGGCGGUUUUGAUAAUUCAUAAUGACACAUAUCUCCUUGCGCUAAUUCCUUCUCAAAGAAUGUUCCAGGAAAAGUUCAAUUUAGCUACAACAAGGCUGUAAAAAGGGAACUCUCAAAAUGCUGAGGACUAGUGUUGGGUCAAGCCUGAAGACUUGAUUUUACAUUUGAGCGAUCUAACCAUUGAGUCCAUAGGUAUGCCAGAGGGGUGUGUCUUUGACGACAUUGUUUUUUCUACUAGAGAGAAUUCCCCUAAAUUUUCAUCCAAGACCUCGCUUCUCCACUUCAUGGAAACCAUGCCAAGUGGUUUUGGUUUUCGAUUUUUUGCAUAUUCUACAAUGAUUUCACUAAAAACAAAUGCGAUAAAUGGCCACAUUUGUCGCAGUAUGUAAAGGUGUCGGAAGUCAUUCAAACUAGCAAUAAAUGCCUACCUAGGGAUUUUCCUCAUUUUUGCAAAAGUUCAGGUCAUGACCCUGAGUUUAAAAAGAGAGUAUUGAAAAGACAAUGUCCACAUAGGCCAUAAGGUUAUGUUUGUGACGACAUCAUUUUUUGAGUUGCGAGAAAUGGCUAGGACUUUUUCCAUGACAUAGCAUGACCAAUUAAUGUCAUCAUGCCAAGUGGAUUUGUGUCUUAGACAAAUUUUGUUUUUUCUGGAAUAAUUUUGGUGAAAAUAGUCUGAUAAUUGCCCAGACGUGUCACAACAUGCAAACAUUUUUGAAAGUUGUUCAAACCAAGCAUGGAUGAAUAUCAUAGGCAUGCCUCCUUGGUGCGAAAACACGGGGUCAUUCCUCAGAGCUACAAAACACCAUGUUGAAAAGAUGAUGUUUAGGUAGGGAAGAAGGUUGUGUUUAUCAUCACAUCAUUUUUUGAGCAGUGAGAAAGGGCACCAAACAUUUUCUAUGACCUAGCCUGACCAAUUCUUGACAUCAUUACGAGUGAUUUUUAUUUCCGACAAGUUUUGCAUUUGCUAGAACUAUUUUAGUGAAAAAGGUUGAUUAAUGUUCCCAUGUGUCACCAUGUGAAUGGGGCUUAAAGUCAUUCAAACAAGCCAUGAAUGCCUAUCAUGGGCAUUGCCUCAUUAGUGGCAGAUGUUCAAUUCAAUACUGAGAUGUGAAAAAAACAAUGAUUAAAUGGCGAUCUCCACACAGUCAUUUUAAAAUCUAAGAAUAACUAAUAUUUAUUAAACAUUAUUUACAAAAAAUUUCAAACUGUUGUUGGCUCUAUGGAAAUUGAGAUAUUUUCUAAUAUAAAAUAAUCUUCUAUUUCUUCUUCAACCAAAGUGCCAGAUUUGAAAUUUUACCUUGAAUUCGUGCUAAGAAAUAAUAUUUGGGAAUGGCCUUACAGAGAACAUAAUAAAAGCAGGACAUUUCGAACAUUUAAUGAUUUGACUAGUAUGAGACUAGACAAGGCAUAUAAAUGAUAUAAAACAACACCAUGGAUUAAUUUGACAUUGAAUAAACAUAUAUUAUGAACUUUAUUACUUAUAUAAAUUUUAUUCCAGACACUUGAUGCUAUAUGCAUCAACAACCAUAUUGUAUUUCUAGUCACAUAUGACGCAUACGCAAUAGCGCUUGAUAGACUUGCGUAUACAAUAAUAUUCCUUAAUUUUCUUAUCAAAAUAAGAAUUUACACAUUGCUCCCAGCAUGUCCACUUCGAGCAUGUGAAGUCUCCAAUAAGAUGGCUUUGGCAGUUUUCAAGCAAACGGUAAGAAUCUAUGUAUUUACACAAAACAGGAAGGCAUAAGUAAAAAGAUAUUAAAUUUCUCAAGCACUAAUAGUAGGAGAGAUGAAAGUUAGGGAGGGAGCGAAAGAGUGUACCUGCUUGAGUGUAAUUUCCUAGAAGCAAAAGCAAAAUGAAAAAACAACUCAUAGUUUUCCCUUCCAUUUGUUUGUUUUUCUGUGGUUUUGUUCAUGUG
rnacentral:lncRNA from 1 species